UGGGGAAUUUUGGACAAUGGGCGAAAGCCUGAUCCAGCAAUGCCGCGUGUGUGAAGAAGGCCUUCGGGUUGUAAAGCACUUUUGUCCGGAAAGAAAUCCUUGGCUCUAAUACAGUCGGGGGAUGACGGUACCGGAAGAAUAAGCACCGGCUAACUACGUGCCAGCAGCCGCGGUAAUACGUAGGGUGCAAGCGUUAAUCGGAAUUACUGGGCGUAAAGCGUGCGCAGGCGGUUUGCUAAGACCGAUGUGAAAUCCCCGGGCUCAACCUGGGAACUGCAUUGGUGACUGGCAGGCUAGAGUAUGGCAGAGGGGGGUAGAAUUCCACGUGUAGCAGUGAAAUGCGUAGAGAUGUGGAGGAAUACCGAUGGCGAAGGCAGCCCCCUGGGCCAAUACUGACGCUCAUGCACGAAAGCGUGGGGGAGCAAAACAGGAUUAGAUACCCUGGUAGUCCACGCCCUAAACGAUGUCAACUAGUUGUUGGGGGAUUCAUUUCCUUAGUAACGUAGCUAACGCGUGAAGUUGACCGCCUGGGGAGUACGGUCGCAAGAUUAAAACUCAAAUGAAUUGACGGGGUCAUA
rnacentral:rRNA from 1 species